AGAGAACUAUAACCAAAGCGAAAAUUUGGUAAAGGCAGAAGCUUUAAGGAAGCGAGAAUGCAGAAGAAGGCGGAGGAGCCCUUCCGAACCGUCAUUGAGAAUGGCUUCAAGAACAGACACCGCUCAAUGUUCGUUAUGCUCGGCGACAAGCAUCCCCAGUAGGAUCAGGAUGUUCAUGAGAAAUUUCGGAUAGUCUCAGGAGGCAGCUGGACUAUUGGAUAAGCGUUUGUCGUUAUCACUCGCGUCAUGUAAAUCGUGUGUAGGCACGGAUGAUGAACUGAAGCCUCGUCUAGUUCAUUGUCUGAUGGCCAAGGGAAACAACCAGAAUGCUAAUCGUCAGGUCGUAUAUUCUUCCAAUUCGUCAGCCAUGGAAGAUACUGGGAACCCUUUUUAUCUGCAUAAUGGUGACCAUCCAUGACUGGUUCUAGUAUCAAAGCAUGCACAGUUUUGCAAUGUUGGGUCUCCCGAUAUCGACUUAUUCGCAGUGAUUUGGCAUGGACGUAUUAGAAUCCCACAUUGACUGGAGAUAUUGGCACGAUCCACUUAAUAAGUACAUAGAACCGCGUGAGCAUGAAAAGCUUUCCCAAGUUGAAUUGUUGGUUGUUGAUGAGGCAGCUGCUAUUCCGUUGCCAGCGGUGUGGUCACUGCUUGGUCCUUAUCUGGUCUUCCGUUUAUCUACUGUUAAUGCUAUGAAGGUGCGGGUCAAAUUUUGUCCCUUAAGCUUAUUCAGCGAUCGGAACGACAAAGCCAGACAUCUGCUCAUAGCUUGGACGGUCCAACUUCUGAAAAAUUGGCUCGAUGCCGGUACGAUUUACCAAAGGAGUUGUGGGUGGAAAUCAUGACAAGGUUACCUGUUUAUGCUCAAUUACGCUGUAAAAGCGUUCAGAAGUCGUGGAAUCGUCAUAUCAACACUCUGAUUCGUGACAAAACAUUUGUGGCCAAACAUCUCAAGAAUUCCAUUGAUAGACCAUCCUUAUUUAUCGUAAGCCACCACCACCUCCCCUCCUCGGAAAUAGGUGAAUUCGCCUUUGCAACGAUCUGCAAUACAAACGACGACAAUUGUGACAACAGUGACCACAUUGAUACUGUUAUUGAAAAUUUCGAUAUAUUGUCAGCAACAUGUGAUCCCUUUUCCAGGCUCUCAUUGUAAUGGCAUCAUCUGCUUGCGUGGCUACAGCCAAAACUAUAUCAUGUUGUUCAAUCCGGCUCUCAGGGAGUUCAAGCUUAUGAAAAAUUCGUGUUUUGGCCUUUGGGAUAGACUCAAGCAAAGAAUAUUGGUAGGAAUUGGUCACGACUUAAAUGGUGAUGUUUACAAAGUAGUUCGGGUUUUUUACGGACGUGGGCACUUUGUUGGAGGGGAAAUACACACACUAGGUAUUGAUAAUCAUGACUCAUGGAGAGAGGUCAACAAAGAAGAACGAUUUUGCAAAGCCAUUGCUCCAGGUGUGAUGAACCAACAGUUAGAGCACAAAGGAAUCAUUGAUUGGUUAGCAAGGGGAGGCCGCCCUCAGGAGUGGGAUUCUUUUGUUUGAUGUGCAUGAUGAGAAAUUUCAAACCAUACCAUUGCCAGCUGAUGAUGAUGAUGAAUUUUCUACUACUGAAGCAUGUUUACAAAGGACGUACAAGCUUUGCUUUGUGGAACGGAUUUGUUGCUUUGUUCAAGUUCUAGCGUUGGAUAUGUUGUUGUGGUAAAAGAUCCACAUGUUCGCCUCAAAAACCCAUUGAAAUGUGGGUAAUGCAUGGGUUCUUCAAGGACCAAACAUCUAACGAUUCAUCACCUUCAACGAACAUAUCG